rnacentral:rRNA from 1 species
AGAGUUUGAUCCUGGCUCAGAACGAACGCUGGCGGCAGGCCUCAAACAUGCAAGUCGAGGGGGCGUAGCAAUACGUCACCGGCGGACGGGUGCGUAACACGUGGGAAUGUACCUAGUGGUUCGGAACAACGCAGGGAAACUUGCGCUAAUACUGGAUAAGCCCGAAAGGGGAAAGAUUUAUCGCCACUAGAUCAGCCCGC